rnacentral:rRNA from 1 species
ACGGGUGAGUAACGCGUGGGUAACCUGCCUCAUACAGGGGGAGUAACAGUUAGAAAUGACUGCUAAUACCGCAUAAGCGCACAGUGCUGCAUGGCACAGUGUGAAAAACUCCGGUGGUAUGAGAUGGACCCGCGUCUGAUUAGCUAGUUGGUGGGGUAACGGCCUACCAAGGCGACGACCAGUAGCCGGCCUGAGAGGGUGAACGGCCACAUUGGGACUGAGACACGGCCCAAACUCCUACGGGAGGCAGCAAUG